UGGGGAAUAUUGGGCAAUGGAGGCAACUCUUACCCAGCAAUGCCGCGUGAAUGAAGAAGGUCUUCGGAUUGUAAAGUUCUUUAAUUGGGGACGAAAAAAAUGACGGUACCCAAGGAAUAAGCCCCGGCUAACUACGUGCCAGCAGCCGCGGUAAUACGUAGGGGGCAAGCGUUGUUCGGAAUGACUGGGCGUAAAGGGUGUGUAGGCGGUGUAGCAAGUUAGAAGUGAAAUACCUAGAGCUUAACUCAGGUGCUGCUUCUAAAACUGCUAUACUUGAGUGCAGUAGAGGAAAGUGGAAUUCCUAGUGUAGCGGUGGAAUGCGUAGAUAUUAGGAGGAACAUCAGUGGCGAAGGCGACUUUCUGGACUGUAACUGACGCUGAGGCACGAAAGUGUGGGGAGCAAACAGG
rnacentral:rRNA from 1 species